GUGCUUGCUUUGGCAGCACAUAUACUAAAAUUGGAAUGAUACAGAGAUUAGCAUGAUCUCUGCGCAAGGAUGACACACAAAUUCGUGAAGUAGUCCAUGUUUUU
ensembl:snRNA U6 U6 spliceosomal RNA